UACGUAGGGUGCAAGCGUUAUCCGGAAUUAUUGGGCGUAAAGAGCUCGUAGGCGGUUUGUCGCGUCUGCUGUGAAAACCGGAGGCUCAACCUCCGGCCUGCAGUGGGUACGGGCAAAAUAGAGUGCGGUAGGGGAGAUUGGAAUUCCUGGUGUAGCGGUAGAAUGCGCAGAUAUCAGGAGGAACACCGAUGGCGAAGGCAGAUCUCUGGGCCGUAACUGACGCUGAGGAGCGAAAGCGUGGGGAGCGAACGGG
rnacentral:rRNA from 1 species